AGAGUUUGAUCCUGGCUCAGAACGAACGCUGGCGGCAGGCUUAACACAUGCAAGUCGAACGCUCGUAGCAAUACGGGAGUGGCAGACGGGUGAGUAACGCGUGGGAACAUACCCUCCGGUUCGGAAUAGCUCAGGGAAACUUGGAUUAAUACCGGAUACGGCUGUGAGGCGAAAGAUUUAUCGCCGGAGGAUUGGCCCGCGUUCGAUUAGCUUGUUGGUGAGGUAACGGCUCACCAAGGCGAUGAUCGAUAGCUGGUCUGAGAGGAUGAUCAGCCACAUUGGGACUGAGACACGGCCCAAACUCCUACGGGAGGCAGCAGUGGGGAAUAUUGGACAAUGGGCGCAAGCCUGAUCCAGCCAUGCCGCGUGAGUGAUGAAGGCCUUAGGGUUGUAAAGCUCUUCGCUCGGACGA
rnacentral:rRNA from 1 species